AAAUCGGUUCUUCUCAGAACCACAACUUUUGUUAAUCAUAUCUCAAU
rfam:Agrilus planipennis Contig47443, whole genome shotgun sequence.